rnacentral:lncRNA from 1 species
ACCAUUUCCAUAUUUGGCACCGGGGUCAAAUGGGAAGAGUGGCCAUAGACACGGGUCUAGACAACACUCCCCUUUCUUGUGGUCUACACCCAAACUAAAUUAUAUACUCUCAACAGUAACAUAAAUAUCAUCGAAAGAAAAUAGAGAGUAGAGAAAAGUAUUACUCAAGUAAAAUUCUACUAAGGUGCCCUUAUAUGUGUACUCACUACUAGUUUCCCAAUAAUCACCA